CCUACGGGAGGCAGCAGUAGGGAAUUUUCGUCAAUGGGCGCAAGCCUGAACGAGCAAUGCCGCGUGAACGAGGAAGGUCUUCGGAUCGUAAAGUUCUGUUGAAGGGGAAAAGAGCGGAGAGAGGAAAUGCAUUCUGAUUGAUAUUACCCUUCGAGGAAGUCACGGCUAACUACGUGCCAGCAGCCGCGGCAAUACGUAGGUGGCGAGCGUUAGCCGGAGUGAUUGGGAGUAAGGGGUGCGUAGGCGGCCUGCAAAGCCUGGAGGGAACGGUACGGGCUAAACCGGGACAGGCUCUGGAAACUGGCGGGCUAGAGAGCAGGAGAGGGAGGUGGAACUCCAUGUGUAGCGGUAAAAUGCGUAGAUAUAUGGAAGAACACCAGUGGCGAAGGCGGCCGCCUGGACUGUUACUGACGCUGAGGCACGAAAGCGUGGGGAGCAAAUAGGAUUAGAUACCCUAGUAGUC
rnacentral:rRNA from 1 species